rnacentral:rRNA from 1 species
UACGUAGGGUCCAAGCGUUAUCCGGAAUCACUGGGCGUAAAGCGUGCGUAGGCGGUUUGUUAAGUGAGAUGUCAAAACGUGGGGCUCAACCCUGUCGGUGCAUCUCAUACUGGCAGACUAGAGGAAGGCAGAGGCAAGUGGAAUUUGUAGUGUAGCAGUGAAAUGCGUAGAUAUUACAAGGAACACCAAUGGCGAAGGCAGCUUGCUGGGCCUUUUCUGACGCUGAGGUACGAAAGCGUGGGGAGCGAACAGG